AGCGAACGUUAGCGGCAGGCUUAACACAUGCAAGUCGAGCGAGAAAGGGGUUUCGGCCCCAAGUAAAGCGGCGGACGGGUGCGUAACACGUGGAUAAUCUGCCUCGUGGCGGGGAUAACAGCCCGAAAGGACUGCUAAUACCGCAUGUCACGAUGAAGGUCUCGGCCUUCAUCGAAAAAGAGGGCGCCGCAAGGGCUCUCACCACGAGAUGAGUCCGCGUCCCAUCAGCUAGUUGGCGGUGUAAUGGACCACCAAGGCUUAGACGGGUAGCUGGUCUGAGAGGAUGGCCAGCCACACUGGGACUGAGACACGGCCCAGACUCCUACGGGAGGCAGCAGUGGGGAAUAUUGGACAAUGGGCGAAAGCCUGAUCCAGCCAUGCCGCGUGAGUGAUGAAGGUCUUCGGAUCGUAAAGCUCUGUGGGAAGGGACGAAAAGCGUGACCUAAUACGUCUCGCCUUGACGGUACCUUCUUAGCAAGCACCGGCUAACUCCGUCG
rnacentral:rRNA from 1 species